rnacentral:tRNA from 17 species
GCGGGUGUAGUUUAAUGGUAAAAUAGAAGCCUUCCAAGCUUCGGUCGUGGGUUCGAUUCCCAUCACCCGCUCCA